rnacentral:rRNA from 1 species
AUUGAACGCUGGCGGCAUGCUUUACACAUGCAAGUCGAACGGUAACAGGUUAAGCUGACGAGUGGCGAACGGGUGAGUAAUGCAUCGGAACGUGCCCGAUCGUGGGGGAUAACGCAGCGAAAGCUGCGCUAAUACCGCAUACGAUCUGAGGAUGAAAGCGGGGGACCGUAAGGCCUCGCGCGAUCGGAGCGGCCGAUGUCAGAUUAGGUAGUUGGUGGGGGAAAGGCCCACCAAGCCGACGAUCUGUAGCUGGUCUGAGAGGACGACCAGCCACACUGGGACUGAGACACGGCCCAGACUCCUACGGGAGGCAGCAGUGGGGAAUGUUGGACAAUGGGCGAAAGCCUGAUCCAGCAAUGCCGAGUGCAGGAAGAAGGCCUUCGGGUUGUAAACUGCUUUUGUACGGAGCGAAAAGGUCCUUUCUAAUACAGGGGGCUCAUGACGGUACCGUAAGAAUAAGCACCGGCUAACUACGUGCCAGCAGCCGCCGUAA